rnacentral:rRNA from 1 species
GGACAACAUUCGGAAACGGAUGCUAAUACCCCAUAGGUGGAUUGGUCGCAUGACGAAUUCAUUAAAGGUGGCUUUGCUACCACUCAUGGAUAGCCUCGCGGCGUAUUAGCUAGUUGGUAAGGUAAUGGCUUACCAAGGCAGUGAUACGUAGCCGACUUGAGAGGGUGAUCGGCCACACUGGGACUGAGACACGGCCCAG